GUGGUUCUCUCCUGCUAACUUCUAAAGUUGAAGCUAAGGGGAUCAUUAUUUAUCUGGAGACUAUAAGGCUGUGCUGUCCAGUAUGGUAGUCACCAGCCUCAUGUGGCUGUUGAGAACUUGAAAUGUGGCUAGUCCGGAUCGAGAUGUGCUCUGAAUACAGACAAUAUGGAGGCCUCAGGCUCAGAGGAUGGCAGAGUCUUCAGAUGGAUGGAGGGAGCUGCAGUCACUGAACCACUGCAGGGAGAGAAGUACUCACAGACCAGGAACGCUCAACUUGGACUGUUAUGUGACAGAAAGAACUUGAUGUAUACCUCCUGACCUGUUCAUCUUGUAGCUGCCUCUUGACAGACUUGUGACUGCUUUGCCCAAAAAAGCAUGAUGGAAGUGAUGCCAUGAGGCUGUUACUGAGGCUGGAUCACAAGACCAUGCAGCUUCUGCCUUAUCACUCUUCAGCCCUGAGAUUCCAGAUAUAAGAGGCCGCCCUGUAGAGGAGGAAGGAGGAAGUUGGCUGUGAUUGACCUUGCUAGGUCAUCUUCCUAAUCUUUGUCCUUUCCUGCACCCCAAAUGGAAGAUAAAAGGCAAUGCAAGAUCAGCAUCCUCAGAGACAUCGUUUUGUUUGGGUUUCAUGGAUUGCAAUUGCCAGAGAUGCUUAGGCUGCCUCUAGAGGGAAGAUGAUUGAUUGUUAACCUAUGUGGUCCAACCAAAUGUCUUAGGGGUUAUUGAUAAUUAAAAUGGACAAUAGCGAUUUUCCAUUUCUUCUGGCCUUGGGUGCUGGCAUGUGGAAGUGGUAUUGAUACUCAUGACCAAAUAGGCACUUAUCGAUUUCAGUUUUCAUAAGUUGCCUACCAAAUGCAAACUAGUAACCCAGACGUGGGAGACCUAAUAUUCCAUUGUUAAUCUUUAGGUCCAUAAUUUUUAUUUCCUCUACUUGCCUCUUCUUCCUUCCUCUGCAUAAUGAGUUGGGCUUAUAUAAUUGCACCCAUUUACUCACUCAUUCGUUCAAUCAAUUAUUUGUUCCUAUUUUAUGCCAAGUAAUGAACAGAAGGUGUUGGGGAUGCAAAACCCAACUAAUUGGAAUUUCUAUGUUACAGGAGCUUAUGCUUUAGUGAAAUUAUAGACAAAUUAUUAUACAGUUUUAAUCCAGAAUAGUAAGUGCUAUGGGAGCAUGCACAGAGGAAACAACCCAAUCUUAAGGAAUCAGGAAGGUUUGCAGAGGACUGACAGGAAAAGUGGGCAGGUGAAGAAGAUGGGCAGUGAGAGGAGGAGUGGAAGCACUUUUGCUAGGGAAAAACAUGAAUAAAAGGGAUAAUUUUCUGCUCUUACCCCUGGGUGAUCUUUGCGUGGUACUGUCCAUCACAGUUGGGAGAGACGGCUCCUCAGAGCUGCUCCACACUGUUCACAGAGGAUGCCAUUCCAAGGAAACUGGGGAAUAGGGAAAGUCUUUAGCUUAUUCCUCUUUGAGGUUUGUUUGAGAUGCAGUUUCUUCAAUAUUUUGAGUCUAUGAAAACAUGUUGUAUACUUAAAUAUAUACCACAAAAAAUAAAAAAAAUUGCGA
rnacentral:lncRNA from 1 species